rnacentral:rRNA from 1 species
AGUGAACGCUGGCGGUAGGCCUAACACAUGCAAGUCGAACGGCAGCACAGUAAGAGCUUGCUCUUACGGGUGGCGAGUGGCGGACGGGUGAGGAAUACAUCGGAAUCUACUUUUUCGUGGGGGAUAACGUAGGGAAACUUACGCUAAUACCGCAUACGACCUACGGGUGAAAGCAGGGGAUCUUCGGACCUUGCGCGAUUGAAUGAGCCGAUGUCGGAUUAGCUAGUUGGCGGGGUAAAGGCCCACCAAGGCGACGAUCCGUAGCUGGUCUGAGAGGAUGAUCAGCCACACUGGAACUGAGACACGGUCCAGACUCCUACGGGAGGCAGCAGUGGGGAAUGUUGGACAAUGGGCGCAAGCCUGAUCCAGCCAUACCGCGUGGGUGAAGAAGGCCUUCGGGUUGCAAAGCCCUUUUGUUGGGAAAGAAAAGCAGCAGGUUAAUACCCCGCUGUUCUGACGGUACCCAAAGAAUAAGCACCGGCUAACUUCGUG